rnacentral:rRNA from 1 species
GAUGAACGCUGGCGGCGUGCCUAAUACAUGCAAGUCGAGCGAAUGGAUUAAGAGCUUGCUCUUAUGAAGUUAGCGGCGGACGGGUGAGUAACACGUGGGUAACCUGCCCAUAAGACUGGGAUAACUCCGGGAAACCGGGGCUAGUACCGGAUAACAUUUUGAACCGCAUGGUUCGAAAUUGAAAGGCGGCUUCGGCUGUCACUUAUGGAUGGACCCGCGUCGCAUUAGCUAGUUGGUGAGGUAACGGCUCACCAAGGCAACGAUGCGUAGCCGACCUGAGAGGGUGAUCGGCCACACUGGGACUGAGACACGGCCCAGACUCCUACGGGAGGCAGCAGUAGGGAAUCUUCCGCAAUGGACGAAAGUCUGACGGAGCAACGCCGCGUGAGUGAUGAAGGCUUUCGGGUCGUAAAACUCUGUUGUUAGGGAUGAACAAGUGCUAGUUGAAUAAGCUGGCACCUUGACGGUACCUAACCAGAAAGCCACGGCUAACUACGUGCCAGCCGCCGCGGUAA